ensembl:snoRNA snoRNA:Me18S-A28a
UUUUCUUGAUGAAAACCUAGACAAGCAUAUAGCUGAAUUUCUCUGUCGACAACUCACGCGACUGAUC